AAAACCGGGAAGUGCGCGGCUGCGACGGCGUCGGGCAGCGUGCUCGGCGGAGAAAACGCGCGCUCUAAUCCUCUCGACCAGAGGCUUUCCUCUGUCUCCGCCAAAAAACUCAAGCCCUCCGCAAGCCGGGAGGCUCCCGCGACAAGCGCGCCGUCCCCGGACCCGGUCGGACCGCGUGGCCGGGCUCGCAUUCCCGACGCGGCGGGACUGGAGGGCUGACAAACUGUUUUCGGUUUGCACACCCAGCCAUCCCCGCCGCGGAAUCUGCUCCAAGAAGAUGUCGUUAGGAAGUUACGGGCAGGACUGAUGCUUUGACCGCAGGAGGAUCCGGGCAAAGAUUUAUCUGGAAGUUUGUCUUGCACAACCCACUUCUGGAGUCCCGCGACACUCCAGACAAAAGGACGGGCUCUAAACCUAUCUCGAGAGUCCUCUGGACCUGCUGUUAGGACCCUAGUUCUCCUCACCUCGUCCAAAUGAACUCAGCAUUCGGAAACUUCUCGUCCCCACCUCCAUCCCCCACCCCGUUUUUGGUGAGCGACUUUUUAAAAGGGGGCUCGAGCUCGGAGAACAAGAAACGUAAUAGAAAAGCUAUCCCCGCGCUGUCACGCGUCCCCGCUCGUCUUCCAGCGGAAGCGUCGCUGUAGGGUGGCAGUGGUGUAUUUUUUUUUUUUAAUUACGCAAUUUAGGCGAAUGCAGUCCAAUCCAGAGCCGCUAGCUGUGUACGCGCU
rnacentral:lncRNA from 1 species